AGACAUGUUAGUUUGAGACCGACUAGCUACAGCGCUCCAUGAAGUUGGAAAGUUGUCAAUUUGUUACGGAGAGUGCCUGCUGGCUAGAAACUAUACGUUAGAAACUCGAAAAGACAGGUUACGUAAGCAGACCGCCGUGACAUAAUUGGAAGCUGUUGAGAAACGGCGUAAAACCCAAAUAAAUGGUUAUCAAAUGCUCCUCGGCUGUUACCAAUCCGAAGAUACGCAGAUGAUAUUUUGAAAGAAAAGAAAACCCCAGCUUAUUCCUCUCCUUAAGGGCGAACUUCAACAAUCACAUGGAUUCUGCACCAAAGACCGACUGAAGAAAAAAUAAUAACGAUCCAAACAUCGUAAGUAAUUUACAAACAAAAGACAGGCAUGGAAGGAGCAGGUUAUUGUUGUUGUUUUCUACUGCGCAAUUUGGAAGUGAAUGCUGGCACUUAGAUUGUGUAAUUAUGAAAGUAAAGUCAGUUACAGUACAAAUCGCAAGGGUGCUCACAAUUUCACAUAGUUCAGGGAUGAUAAACAACAAUCAAUACUCAUCAGAAGUGAUAGUUUCUCGAAAAGUGGUUUGCUUUUGGAAGAAAGUGUUAUAUGUGUUACAGUAUAUAUCAAAAUAUUCAGAGUGGAUUUAACUUUCAACAUCGUUUGGAAAAUACGUAGAUAUAGUGAAGGAGAAUAAUUAAAUGUGAUAUUAAAUCUGGCAUGCACAUAGAUAUGAUAAGGAAAUAUAGUUAUUGUUGAUGUUCCGACUGGAUGUAAUUUUCAAGACAAUUUGAAAUAUACAUAUAACGAAGAAAUGAUAUUAUUUGUGUGUUCGUUUCAUUCUAAUUAUUAUUGACUCAAACAGGACUGUCUGGAAUAUGAUUGUAUAAUGGGAAGAAAUAUAAUUAGUGGUCAGUAUGCUUUGCAACUGGAUUUAAUUUUUAAAAAUUUGGAAGGAACAAAGAUAUGGUGAAGGAAUUAAUUAAUUUGUGAGAUUCAAAUCGGAUUUAAUUUGCACUUCUAAAUUUUUGUAUAUAUAGAAUGGUAUAUAAUAUGUGAAGAGCACGUUGCAUUCUAAUUAUCAAAUAUUCAAAUCGGAUUAAGUGUUCAAGACAUUUGGAAUAUACAUAGAUGUAGGGAAGGUAUGUAAUUAUUACUAAUAUUCA